rnacentral:rRNA from 1 species
GUGAAUCAUCGAGUCUUUGAACGCACAUUGCGCCCUAUGGCUAUUCCGUAGGGCAUGCCUGUCUCAGUGUCUUUCAACAGCCCUCAAGCAGUUUUGCUUGGAUCAUUUGGAGUAUGCGGGUGUUUUUUGCCCCGCAGCUCAGAAAACUAUUGGCAGUGUCCACUUUGGCUUGAUGCAGAUAAUAUUAACAUUAUCAUCUGAGUGAGUCAGUGGAAGGUCUUUGCCAGAAAUAAAAUAUUUUCUUAUGAGGUUGACCUGAGAUCAGGUAGGGAUACCCGCUGAACUUAAGCAUAUCAAUAAGCGGAGG